AUUGAACGCUGGCGGCAUGCCUUACACAUGCAAGUCGAACGGCAGCACGGGUGCUUGCACCUGGUGGCGAGUGGCGAACGGGUGAGUAAUACAUCGGAACACGUCCUGUCGUGGGGGAUAGCCCGGCGAAAGCCGGAUUAAUACCGCAUACGAUCUACGGAUGAAAGCGGGGGACCUUCGGGCCUCGCGCUAUAGGGUUGGCCGAUGGCUGAUUAGCUAGUUGGUGGGGGAAAGGCCUACCAAGGCGACGAUCAGUAGCUGGUCUGAGAGGACGACCAGCCACACUGGGACUGAGACACGGCCCAAACUCCUACGGGAGGCAGCAGUGGGGAAUUUUGGCCACUGGGCGAAAGCCUGAUCCAGCAAUGCCGCGUGUGGGAAGAAGGCCUUCGGGUUGUAAAGCACUUUUGUCCGGAAAGAAAUCCUUGGCCCUAAUACGGUCGGGGGAUGACGGUACCGGAAGAAUAAGCACCGGCUAACUACGUG
rnacentral:rRNA from 1 species